UGGCCCAGCAGACCUACAACUUGAGGUUUAACCAAUGGGUUAUUGCAUGAUAUUGCACGAUGGAGAAGUUGUCUAUCCAACCCAGUCUCACGGAAAUACGUGACACUUUCACGUCAUUUCAUCUAUUCAAUCGUGAUCGGAGACACGUAAUUUCAAUCUCAUGUAUUUCAAUUGGAAGUAUUUUUUGUGUCACUUAGCACGACUUUCGCCCUUAUAUUUAAACUAUGCAAGUAAUUUAUCAUAUUAAGCAAAACAUUUGGCAGACGAAUAGUCAUACAGCCCUUAAUAGGAGUUUGAGAGCGAAAGAGGGAAAUCCCCGCUAAAACUGACGACAGUGCUUACGCCACCGCUAGCUUGCGUCUUCACCAUGGCAACGGCAGAGAACGCUCAUGGGUAACGUAAGCCGUUUGUCAAUACCAAGUACAAUAUUAACAUUGUAUUUUUUUGCAAACCAAAAGUGCACAUUGCUGCUAACUUUGUUUGUGAUUGAUGGUUGACAGUUCUUUUCUUUUCUCCCUGCAGCUCCUUUAUAGUCAACCCCCAUCACACGUUAUCGUCGUCAUUUUGAAUCCCCAAAGGCACUUUUAAGAGCCACGUCCCUCCGUCUGUCUGUCCGUCUAUCUGCCUGUCUGUCUGUCUGUCUUUCAGUCUGUCUAGGUCAGUCUGCCUGUCUGGGUCAGUCAGUCUGUCUGUCUGUCUGGGUCAGUCAGUCUGUUUCUGUUGCAAUGGUGGCCACAAGACAUACCAUUGACUGCCCGCUACAAAGAGGGGAAACGUGUGGCGCUUAAAAUGAAACAAGACCCCCUUAUAGCUGAACCCAAGAGAGCAGUUGAGGAGAGGAAACGGGCACGUUCUGGUGGAGGACCUCAAUGCGGCUCCAAUAGUGACUGUGCCAGACGAGGCAAGCCGAGGGGGGGGGGGUGUGGAGGGCGACGCAAAGCCUCAGCUACAGUUACAUUCCCCCCAUCUGUGUGCUCCCUGUCAUCCAAUGUGGACGUUCCACUUACUGCACCCUGAGCACAACUAAAUCCUCAAGAGGCAUUUGGUAAAUCCCACUGAUGAAUUUAAGUUUAAAUCUAAAAUUUAAAAGGUAUCACUGAGAGAAAAAAGCCCUUUGUAUUUGACAGUGACAGUGUCACGUAUUUCCGUGAGACUGGGUUGGUCUAUCUGAUGUCCCUCUAGAACACAUGUACUGGGGCAUUCUAGGGGCCGUCCCUCCCCCUAUGGUUGUAGCCAUGACCGCUCAGAACAGGCCACACCACCCUUAUGAAAAUGUACAAUAAACUCAUGUAAUUUUUGUGGCAUAAUCGAAUAAGACUUUUAUGGGAGGAAUAUGGUGGCAACCGCAUUAUUGAACAUAGCAAUUCAUAUCGAGAAAAAGUCCCUGUACAACUCUAAGGAAUAGUUAUUUGAUGAUUGUUGUUGUUGUUGGUGUUUUGCAUUUUUUAUUCCAUGUUUCUUCACCAAGGAGAAAAGUGUACCAGAGCCCAUUCAUGUGGCUAUUCCAAUGGUUCUAGGUUAGGACGAUUUGACUCUUUUAGGGGAAGCCGAGCUUUCCUUGCAGUCAUAGAGCAAUCGCCACUGCAGUAAUCUGUAGUGAGUCUCCUCCCUAAACAUCCAACAUCCUGAAAUAAAAUUGAUCCGCAAUGGUCACUCUGUGAGACAGUGGUCCAGUCCUUAUGCGAUAGACAGAGGUCAAUCAAAGUCCUAGUGCCAUAGACAGAGGUCCAUUACAGUCCUACUGCGAUAGACAGAGGUCCAUCAGUCCUACUGUGAUGGCUGAAGCACACGCUGGUUUGAGUGUUUGUGCUGUCGGUAUAUUCAAGUUAUUAUUUCUAGCAGAUGUGUACGGUAUUGUCCAUUAUAUUAAUACGUUGAACAAAAUAUAAUUAUC